rnacentral:rRNA from 1 species
UAGUCAUAUGCUUGUCUCAAAGAUUAAGCCAUGCAUGUCUAAGUAUAAAUGGUAUACAAUGAAACUGCGAAUGGCUCAUUAAAACAGUUAUAGUUUAUUUGGUAAUCAAACUUACAUGGAUAACCGUGGUAAUUCUAGAGCUAAUACAUGCUGUUGUGCCCGACUCACGAAGGGCCGUAUUUAUUAGAUAUCAGCCAAUAAGCAUCUGCUAUUGUGGUGACUCAUAGUAACUUAAUCGGAUCGCAUGGGCUUGUCCCGCGACAAACCAUUCAAGUUUCUGCCCCAUCAUGCUUUCGAUGGUAGUGUAUUGGACUACCAUGGCUUUCACGGGUAACGGAGGAUUAGGGUUCGAUUCCGGAGAGGGAGCCUGAGAAACGGCUACCACUUCCACGGAAGGCAGCAGGCGC